rnacentral:rRNA from 1 species
GACGAACGCUGGCGGCGUGCCUAAUACAUGCAAGUAGAACGCUGAAGCUUGGUGCUUGCACCGAGCGGAUGAGUUGCGAACGGGUGAGUAACGCGUAGGUAACCUGCCUGGUAGCGGGGGAUAACUAUUGGAAACGAUAGCUAAUACCGCAUAAAAUGGAUUAUCGCAUGAUAAUCCAUUGAAAGGUGCAAAUGCAUCACUACCAGAUGGACCUGCGUUGUAUUAGCUAGUUGGUGGGGUAACGGCUCACCAAGGCGACGAUACAUAGCCGACCUGGGAGGGUGAUCGGCCACACUGGGACUGAGACACGGCCCAGACUCCUACGGGAGGCAGCAGUAGGGAAUCUUCGGCAAUGGACGGAAGUCUGACCGAGCAACGCCGCGUGAGUGAAGAAGGUUUUCGGAUCGUAAAGCUCUGUUGUAAGAGAAGAACGAGUGUGAGAGUGGAAAGUUCACACUGUGACGGUAUCUUACCAGAAAGGGACGGCUAACUACGUGCCAGCAGCCGCGGUAAUACGUAGGUCCCGAGCGUUGUCCGGAUUUAUUGGGCGUAAAGCGAGCGCAGGCGGUUAGAUAAGUCUGAAGUUAAAGGCUGUGGCUUAACCAUAGUACGCUUUGGAAACUGUUUAACUUGAGUGCAAGAGGGGAGAGUGGAAUUCCAUGUGUAGCGGUGAAAUGCGUAGAUAUAUGGAGGAACACCGGUGGCGAAAGCGGCUCUCUGGCUUGUAACUGACGCUGAGGCUCGAAAGCGUGGGGAGCAAACAGG